rnacentral:sRNA from 1 species
CUGCUUAGAACAAACAUCAAAAAGCAAACUGGUUUCACAGGAACCACCUCAUUGGCCCGUCCGGCUCCCCCGAACGGGCUUUUCU